rnacentral:rRNA from 1 species
CCUACGGGAGGCAGCAGUGGGGAAUCUUGGACAAUGGGGGAAACCCUGAUCCAGCGACGCCGCGUGAGUGAAGAAGUAUUUCGGUACGUAAAGCUCUAUCAGCAGAAAAGAAAAUGACGGUAACUGACUAAGAAGCCCCGGAGAACUACGUGCCAGCAGCCGCGGUAAUACGGCGGGGGCAAGCGUUAUCCGGAUUUACUGGGUGUAAAGGGAGCGUAGUCGGGAGCGCAAGUCCGGAGUGAAAUGCCCGGGCUCAACCCCGGAAUUGCCCUGGAAACUGUGAAGCUGGAGUGGAGGAGAGGUAAGCGGAAUUCCAGGUGUAGCGGUGAAAUGCGUAGAUAUCAGGAGGAACACCGGCGGCGAAGGCGGCUUACUGGACUGUAACUGACGUUGAGGCUCGAAGGCGUGGGGAGCAAACAGGAUUAGAUACCCCAGUAGUC